rnacentral:rRNA from 1 species
GACGAACGCUGGCGGCGUGCUUAACACAUGCAAGUCGAACGGAAAGGCCCUGCUUUUGUGGGGUGCUCGAUUGCCGAACGGGUGAGUAACACGUGAGUAACCUGCCCUUGACUUUGGGAUAACUUCAGGAAACUGGGGCUAAUACCGGAUAGGAGAUCCUGCAGCAUGGUGGGGGUUGGAAAGUUUCGGCGGUUGGGGAUGGACUCGCGGCUUAUCAGCUUGUUGGUGGGGUAGUGGCUUACCAAGGCUUUGACGGGUCGCCGGCCUGAGAGGGGGACCGGGGACAAUGGGACUACGGUAAGGAGCAGUGUGGAAUGGGGGGCAAUAGGGGGGAACCUUGCACAAUGGGCCGGAGUCUGUUGAAGAAACCCUGGGGGCGGAAAGCCGGCCUUUGGGGUGUAAACAGCUUUCGCCUGUGACCAAGCGGUAGUGACGGUAAUCGGUAAAGAAGCACCGGCUAACUACGUG